rnacentral:rRNA from 1 species
UACAGAGGGUGCUAGCGUUGUUCGGAAUCACUGGGCGUAAAGGGUGCGUAGGCGGGUCUUUUAAGUCAGGGGUGAAAUCCUGGAGCUCAACUCCAGAACUGCCUUUGAUACUGAGGAUCUUGAGUUCGGGAGAGGUGAGUGGAACUGCGAGUGUAGAGGUGAAAUUCGUAGAUAUUCGCAAGAACACCAGUGGCGAAGGCGGCUCACUGGCCCGAUACUGACGCUGAGGCACGAAAGCGUGGGGAGCAAACAGG